rnacentral:rRNA from 1 species
UACGAAGGGGGCUAGCGUUGCUCGGAAUCACUGGCGUAAGACGCACGUAGGCGGAUCUUUAAGUCAGGGGUGAAAUCCUGGAGCUCAACUCCAGAACUGCCUUUGAUACUGAGGAUCUUGAGUCCGGGAGAGGUGAGUGGAACUCCGAGUGUAGAGGUGAAAUUCGUAGAUAUUCGGAAGAACACCAGUGGCGAAGGCGGCUCACUGGCCCGGUACGUGACGCUGAGGUGCGAAAGCGUGGGGAGCAAACAGG